UACGAAGGGGGCUAGCGUUGUUCGGAAUUACUGGGCGUAAAGCGCGCGCAGGCGGCUAUCCAAGUCAGUGGUGAAAGUCCGGAGCUCAACUCCGGAACUGCCAUUGAAACUGUUUAGCUUGAGUAUGAGAGAGGUGAGUGGAAUUCCCAGUGUAGAGGUGAAAUGCGCAGAUAUCGGGAGGAACACCGAUGGCGAAGGCAGCACUCUGGGCCGGCACUGACGCUGAGGAGCGAAAGCGUGGGGAGCGAACAGG
rnacentral:rRNA from 1 species